rnacentral:rRNA from 1 species
AGUCGAACGGCAGCACGGGGGCAACCCUGGUGGCGAGUGGCGAACGGGUGAGUAAUACAUCGGAACGUGCCCUGUAGUGGGGGAUAACUAGUCGAAAGAUUAGCUAAUACCGCAUACGACCUGAGGGUGAAAGCGGGGGACCGCAAGGCCUCGCGCUACAGGAGCGGCCGAUGUCUGAUUAGCUAGUUGGUGGGGUAAAAGCCUACCAAGGCGACGAUCAGUAGCUGGUCUGAGAGGACGAUCAGCCACACUGGGACUGAGACACGGCCCAGACUCCUACGGGAGGCAGCAGUGGGGAAUUUUGGACAAUGGGGGCAACCCUGAUCCAGCAAUGCCGCGUGUGUGAAGAAGGCCUUCGGGUUGUAAAGCACUUUUGUCCGGAAAGAAAUGGCUCUGGUUAAUACCCGGGGUCGAUGACGGUACCGGAAGAAUAAGCACCGGCUAACUACGUGCCAGCAGCCGCGGUAAUACGUAGGGUGCGAGCGUUAAUCGGAAUUACUGGGCGUAAAGCGUGCGCAGGCGGUUUUGUAAGACAGGCGUGAAAUCCCCGAGCUCAACUUGGGAAUGGCGCUUGUGACUGCAAGGCUAGAGUAUGUCAGAGGGGGGUAGAAUUCCACGUGUAGCAGUGAAAUGCGUAGAGAUGUGGAGGAAUACCGAUGGCGAAGGCAGCCCCCUGGGACGUCACUGACGCUCAUGCACGAAAGCGUGGGGAGCAAACAGGAUUAGAUACCCUGGUAGUCCACGCCCUAAACGAUGUCAACUAGUUGUUGGGGAUUCAUUUCUUCAGUAACGUAGCUAACGCGUGAAGUUGACCGCCUGGGGAGUACGGUCGCAAGAUUAAAACUCA